rnacentral:rRNA from 1 species
UGAGGGAUCUUGGGCAAUGGGCGCAAGCCUGACCCAGCGACGCCGCGUGGAGGACGAAGGGCUUCGGCUCGUAAACUCCUUUUCCCGUGGACGAGACAAGGACGGUACACGGGGAAUAAGUCUCGGCUAACUACGUGCCAGCAGCCGCGGUAAAACGUAGGAGGCGAGCGUUAUCCGGAAUCACUGGGCGUAAAGGGCGUCUAGGCGGCACGAUAAGCGAGGUGUGAAAGCUCCUGGCUCAACCAGGAGAGUGCGCUUCGGACUGUCGAGCUUGGAGGGCAGGUGAAGGGGGUGGAAUUCCCGGUGGAGUGGUGGAAUGCGUAGAGAUCGGGAGGAACACCAGUGGCGAAAGCGGCCCCCUGGCCUGUUGCUGACGCUGAAGCGCGAAAGCGUGGGGAGCAAACGGG